rnacentral:rRNA from 1 species
AUUGAACGCUGGCGGCAUGCCUUACACAUGCAAGUCGAACGGUAACGCGGGGCAACCUGGCGACGAGUGGCGAACGGGUGAGUAAUGUAUCGGAACGUGCCCAGUUGUGGGGGAUAACUGCUCGAAAGAGCAGCUAAUACCGCAUACGACCUGAGGGUGAAAGCGGGGGAGCGCAAGACCUCGCGCAGUUGGAGCGGCCGAUAUCAGAUUAGGUAGUUGGUGGGGUAAAGGCUCACCAAGCCAACGAUCUGUAGCUGGUCUGAGAGGACGACCAGCCACACUGGGACUGAGAAACGGCCCAGACUCCAACGGGAGGCAGCAGUGGGGAAUUUUGGACAAUGGGGGCAAGCCUGAUCCAGCCAUGCCGCGUGCGGGAAGAAGGCCUUCGGGUUGUAAACCGCUUUUGUCAGGGAAGAAAAGACUCCUGUUAAUACCGGGGGUUCAUGACGGUACCUGAAGAAUAAGCACCGGCUAACUACGUGCCAGCCGCCGCCGUAACAC